GAUGAACGCUGGCGGUAUGCCUAACACAUGCAAGUCGAACGGAUGUCUUCGGACAUUAGUGGCGGACGGGUGAGUAACGCGUGAGAAUCUGCCUUCAGGAUGGGGACAACAAUUGGAAACGAUUGCUAAUACCCGAUAUGACGAAAGUUGAAAGAUUUAUCGCCUGGAGAUGAGCUCGCGUCAGAUUAGCUAGAUGGUGUGGUAAAGGCGCACCAUGGCGACGAUCUGUAGCUGGUCUGAGAGGAUGAGCAGCCACACUGGGACUGAGACACGGCCCAGACUCCUACGGGAGGCAGCAGUGGGGAAUUUUCCGCAAUGGGCGCAAGCCUGACGGAGCAAUACCGCGUGAGGGAGGAAGGCUCUUGGGUCGUAAACCUCUUUUCUCAGGGAAGAACAAAAUGACGGUACCUGAGGAAUCAGCAUCGGCUAACUCCGUGCCAGCAGCCGCGGUAAUACGGAGGAUGCAAGCGUUAUCCGGAAUGAUUGGGCGUAAAGCGUCCGUAGGUGGUUAUGUAAGUCUGUGGUUAAAGCGUGGGGCUCAACCCCAUAAGGGCCAUGGAAACUACAAGACUAGAGUAAAGUAGGGGUAGAGGGAAUUCCCAGUGUAGCGGUGAAAUGCGUAGAGAUUGGGAAGAACACCGGUGGCGAAAGCGCUCUACUGGACUUAAACUGACACUGAGGGACGAAAGCUAGGGGAGCGAAAGGGAUUAGAUACCCCUGUAGUCCUAGCCGUAAACGAUGGAUACUAGGUGUUGCCCG
rnacentral:rRNA from 1 species